rnacentral:tRNA from 1 species
CACUAAGAAGCUAUAUAGCACUAACCUUUUAAGUAGAGAUUGAGAGCAGUAUGCUCUCCUUGGUGA